GCCGGGCGUGGUGGUGCACGCCUGUAAUCCCAGCUACUCGGGAGGCUGAGGCAGGAGAAUCGCUUGAACCCAGGAGGCAGAGGUUGCAGUGAGCCGAGAUCGUGCCACUGUGCCACUGUACUCCAACCUGGGCAACAGAGUGAGACUCUGUCUCAA
rfam:Pan troglodytes isolate Yerkes chimp pedigree #C0471 (Clint) chromosome 17, whole genome shotgun sequence.